CCGGCCUAUAAGAUUGCGGUGGAUUGAAAUCGGAUCGAAUGAGCAAGACGGCUUAUUUUCGCCGCUCGAAUGUUGCCGAAAAUUAGCAUAUAAAUUGCCUGGUCGUGGACUGCACCGAAAACGCAUUCUGCGCUCGUUUACUCGAUCCCGAAGGGGGUGUUUUAAUGGAAAACAUGCGCCAAACCAUCCGUUAAUUGCAUCUGAAAGGAGCAAGACGUGUGACAGUUGAUUCCUGUCAAGGAGCGGUUUUGCUCAAUUAAAAAAAAAAGAACUGAAAAUGCCGGCGAAGAACUGCAUUUAAAUGAGCAAUUUUGGCAACGUCCAAUGAAACCUCUCAGCCUGUCGAUGCUCCUCCCCGUGGUUCUACGAGGACUACGCAAAUCGUACGGCAGGCAAACUCUACAUGAAAGUGCCUUGCGACUGAUGGGCGCAAUGAGAAACUUCAUCAGCAAUAAAACUCUUGGACCUGGAGGAAACUUAAACCCCGACAAGACCCUUACUCAAGUCGAAACUUGCUCCGCAAAAUUGCCGGCCUUUUAAAGUUAAUAAAUUCUUCAUUGUGCUGCCUUGUA